UAUUAUUUAAAGGGCUCUCUGCCUCUCAAGAGCUCUCUUCCUCUACUCAGAUUGCAACAUAUAUGUCAGUGUCAUAUCAACCAAAACUAAGUAUUCCUGGAACCCAAGAGUGACAUCACAAAGAGCAGGACUACUGUGCCUUGCCAAGGACUUCUGAGGUGCUGAUGUCCUAUCAAGGAUAGCCUCAAUUGGUCCACUAUCUCUGAUCUUGCUUUAUGAUUUACACUCCAAAGGGGUGAGAAAUGGUUAAACAGCAGACCUUCCAGACUGGACCUCCAUCUACUCCUCACCAAUGAGAGAAGGAAAUUGUGGGGCAGAGGGAUAUUCCAGAAUGAGAAAGCUAUGGGCUUUGAGGAAACUUCCAUGUAAGAAGGCAGCUGAACGUUAAGAAAAUUGAAGAAGAAAGAGGAAUUCCUCAAGGUCACAAAGCCAAUGAGGAAUCAAAUUGGAUAUGCCUGAAAAAUAAUAAACAGCAGCAAGAAAAUUGAAGAAACUGGCAAUUCUAAGAGACCUCUGUCAGAGAGUGAUGAUCAGAGAGUGCAUUUGAGACUUGAGGCAUACCCUAUACAAAUAUCCAGAGGGCAUCAGAGACAAUGUGGAGGAGAGGAUAAGAAUUAAAAAUGAAACAUGGCAAGUA